CAUAUCAGUAAGCGGAGGAAAAGAAACUAACCAGGAUUCUCUCAGUAACUGCGAGUGAACGGAGAUUAGCCCAGCACCGAAGCCUAUUUGUGUAUACAAACAAGGCAAUGUGGUGUUUAAGCGAGUAUCUAAGAUGGCUCGUCUAUUCGAAGUCCAACUCCGAUUAUGGCUUUGGAUUUGUUCCUUAGAGGGUGAAAGGCCCGUUCGAAUAGACACUGUUAUUUUUGAGCCAUCUUUGUCGUAUUUGCUUUCGAGUCGGAUUGCUUGAGAAUGCAGUCCAAAGUGGGUGGUAAACUCCAUCCAAGGCUAAAUACUGGCACGAGUCCGAUAGUAGACAAGUACCGUGAGGGAAAGUUGAAAAGUACUCUGAAGAGAGAGUAAAUAGUACGUGAAGCUGAUUGAACGGAAGCUGGUGGAGUCAAGCUUCUUGUGUUUAGAAUUGACAUUGAGACUUCUUUGUUCAUGAAUAAUGGUGUGAAUAGCCUUCAAAUGGUUUAAUGGUUCUCCAUUUAAAGUUGUUUGGGCUAGUUGCUUUUUUUAUGCCAUUUUUCCUGUCUCAUGUGUUAUUUCUUUAUGCAUGCAUCAUGGUCAAUGCUCUUAUGGUGCUUAUUAGUCUAACCGAAUUUUUGUAAGCUCUGCUUACAAUAUUUGGGAUGGCAGGUAGUGAUUUUUAAGCCUUGGCUUUUUAGUCACGUAUAGUGGUUUUUCCUGCCGAUUGAUUUGCUUUUUACCAUCAAGUGUAUUGUUUUCUAAUCUAUAUUCAUCGCUUAAAUAGAUGUCUAUAUGAGAGCCAUGAUUCUGAAGUAGACCUUCCACCGGACCCGUCUUGAAACACGGACCAAGGAGUUUAACUUGCUCGCGAGUCAUGGGAUAUGUUUAAAUCCAAUGGCGUAAUGAAAGUAAACGGUAGCUUUUAGCUUCCGAAGGUGUGAUCCUUGUAUGUUCUGAACAGAGCUGCAGGGCGUAACACCGGCCCGUCUCGUAAUGUAGACUUGCUGGUCAUGGCUGGCAUGCGUCAUUGAGGCGGUGCAAGAGCGAGUAGGUUGAGACCCGAAAGAUGGUGAACUAUGCUUGCGUAGGUUGAAGCCAGAGGAAACUCUGGUGGAGGACCGUCGCGGUUUUGACGUGCAAAUCGAUCGUCAAACGUGAGCAUAGGGGCGAAAGACUAAUCGAACCAUCUAGUAGCUGGUUCCCUCCGAAGUUUCCCUCAGGAUAGCUGGCACUCUAUUGUCACAGUUUGAUCCGAUAAAGCGAAUGAUUAGAGGUAUUGGGGACUUAAUGUCCUCAACCUAUUCUCAAACUAUUAAUGGGUACGAUGCACGGCUCGCUUAAAUAGAGUUGUGCUUUGAAUGUGAGUGCUAAGUGGGCCAUUUUUGGUAAGCAGAACUGGCGCUGUGGGAUGCUCCGAACGUCAAGAUAAGGUGCCUGAUAUUAACGCUCAUGAGAUAACACAAAAGGUGUUAAUGCAUAUAGACAGCAGGACGGUGGCCAUGAAAGUUGGAAUCCGCUAAGGAGUGUGUAACAACUCACCUGCCGAAUGCAUUAGCCCU
rnacentral:rRNA from 1 species